UACAGAGGGGGCAAGCGUUGUUCGGAAUUACUGGGCGUAAAGGGCGCGUAGGCGGCCCGCUAAGUCGAACGUGAAAUCCCCGAGCUCAACUCGGGAACUGCGUCCGAUACUGGCGGGCUUGAAUCCGGGAGAGGGAUGCGGAACUCCAGGUGUAGCGGUGAAAUGCGUAGAUAUCUGGAGGAACACCGGUGGCGAAGGCGGCAUCCUGGACCGGCAUUGACGCUGAGGCGCGAAAGCCAGGGGAGCAAAGCGGG
rnacentral:rRNA from 1 species